GAGUGGCGAACGGGUGAGUAACACGUGAGUAACCUGCCCCCCUUCUUUGGGAUAACGUCGGGAAAUCGGCGCUAAUACUGGAUAUUCUUGCUGCAUCGCAUGGUGUGGUUUGGAAAGGGUUUCUGGUGGGGGAUGGGCUCGCGGCCUAUCAGCUUGUUGGUGGGGUGAUGGCCUACCAAGGCUUUGACGGGUAGCCGGCCUGAGAGGGUGUCCGGCCACACUGGGACUGAGACACGGCCCAGACUCCUACGGGAGGCAGCAGUGGGGAAUAUUGCACAAUGGGCGCAAGCCUGAUGCAGCGACGCCGCGUGAGGGAUGACGGCCUUCGGGUUGUAAACCUCUUUCAGUAUGGAACAAGGAUCCUUCUUUUGGGGGGUUUGAGGGUACGUGCAGAAGAAGCGCCGGCUAACUACGUGCCAGCAGCCGCGGUAAUACGUAGGGCGCGAGCGUUGUCCGGAUUUAUUGGGCGUAAAGAGCUCGUAGGCGGUUUGUCGCGUCUGCCGUGAAAUUUCCUGGCUUAACUGGGAGCGUGCGGUGGGUACGGGCAGACUGGAGUGCGGUAGGGGAGACUGGAAUUCCUGGUGUAGCGGUGGAAUGCGCAGAUAUCAGGAGGAACACCGGUGGCGAAGGCGGGUCUCUGGGCCGUUACUGACGCUGAGGAGCGAAAGCAUGGGGAGCGAACAGGAUUAGAU
rnacentral:rRNA from 1 species